rnacentral:rRNA from 1 species
UAGCAUAUCAAUAAGCGGAGGAAAAGAAACCAACAGGGAUUGCCCUAGUAACGGCGAGUGAAGCGGCAACAGCUCAAAUUUGAAAUCUGGCGCAAGCCCGAGUUGUAAUUUGUAGAGGAUGCUUCAGGGCAGCGGCCGGUCUAAGUUCCUUGGAACAGGACGUCGUAGAGGGUGAGAAUCCCGUAUGCGACCGGUUGGCACCCGUCACGUAGCUCCUUCGACGAGUCGAGUUGUUUGGGAAUGCAGCUCUAAAUGGGAGGUAAAUUUCUUCUAAAGCUAAAUACCGGCCAGAGACCGAUAGCGCACAAGUAGAGUGAUCGAAAGAUGAAAAGCACUUUGGAAAGAGAGUUAAAAAGCACGUGAAAUUGUUGAAAGGGAAGCGCAUGCAACCAGACUUGUCGGCGGUGUUCCGCCGGUCUUCUGACCGGUCUAUUCGCCGCCGGCAGGCCAGCAUCAUCUGGGUGCGCCGGAUAAAGGCGCGGGGAAUGUGGCUCCUCGGAGUGUUAUAGCCCCGCGCACAAUACGGCGCCGCCCGGGUGAGGUCCGCGCUUCGGCUAGGAUGCUGGCGUAAUGGUUGUCUGCGGCCCGUCUUGAAACACGGACCAAGGAGUCUAACAUCUAUGCGAGUGUUCGGGUGUCAAACCCCUACGCGUAAUGAAAGUGAACGGAGGUGGGAAGCGCAAGCUGCACCAUCGACCGAUCCUGAUGUCUUCGGAUGGAUUUGAGUAAGAGCAUAGCUGUUGGGACCCGAAAGAUGGUGAACUAUGCCUGAAUAGGGUGAAGCCAGAGGAAACUCUGGUGGAGGCUCGCAGCGGUUCUGACGUGCAAAUCGAUCGUCAAAUUUGGGUAUAGGGGCGAAAGACUAAUCGAACCAUCUAGUAGCUGGUUCCUGCCGAA